UUGACCCUCUGUUCUGAAAAAUAAGUAUAAGCUGCCAAGAUGAAUGGGGCUCUCCUUAGCUGGAGUCAAGAGAUUGUGUUUAACACUGAAAGUGGUAUGGCAAAGGCAUUGUUUAUUGGGUGUAUACAGGCAUUUCCAGUGUCAAGCUGGUUAUUUCCAGUCUUCUAGCACUCCUACAACAUUAGAACACUCACAACAAUGCACACCAGGGGCAAUAAUGCCCAAUACCAUCUCACACAUAACUUUUGGCAAGAACUCUUGCCUGCAUCCAAACCUGCUCAAGCUAAUUUUCAAUACUAGUAUUUUGAUUUCAUGUCUCCCUAUGCUUUCUUUUUCUCUUUACAAUGAUAUUCUGGUACAGGGCCUUUCAAAAAUGGGCUGCCAGUGCCAGAUGGCCAGCUUGAGAAUCUAUGCUGCUUCUCCAAAGGCCCUGAUUGCCUUUCCUACCAGCUUCAUUCUAUUUCCAGCUUCAUUUUGUUUCCCCUUUGGGCUAUCACAUUGGAAAUAUGAGAUGUUACAUUAAUCUUCAACAGGCAAUUUCAGACAUUUUAUAUCCACUUAUAACUUUGUAAUGAAUUACUUCACUGUUUGGCAAAUAUUAAAUAACAUCUUUUUUGUUGCAGUGUGUUGCUGUGAAAGUGUCUGUGAUCUGCAGGCCGCAGCUGGUUCCAGGAUUUGUUGCUGUUCAGUCUCAACUCGCCUGCCUCUUCCUCUCUCGUUUGUGUCCUCCUGUUCAAAUGCAGCUGGUUUACAUCCGUCACGAUGGACGGAGAGAAAUUCUUCACUAUAACCUGACAGACCAGAAAACUAGAGAUAGCCCCAGAUUCAGUACCUAUGUUUGGAUGGAUCAUUCCUUUGCAUUAUACUUAUGCAUAAACUAGAUCUCCAUUUGAAAGAAAGCAGAAGUCCACAUUUCCUUCAGCUUGCGACCACCUGAGCCUUCCUCCAACACCUUCUCAUUGACUUCUCUUUGUUCUUACUCUGGAUCCAUUAAAUUUAUGUGCACAGCC